AGACAGCACCCCGGACCCAGACAGCACCCGGACCCAGACAGCACCCAGGGCCCUGGCAGCACCCAGCAGCCCCUCCGUCUCACCAAGACCCAGCCCCUACCCCACCUCCAGCACCAGGUCUUCACUACCCUGUCACCUGUCAGUUUUAAAGUUGAGCUGCAGAGGCGCCCAGUGGCUCUGGGAGGAGAUGCGUGCAAAGCAGCAAAGCCUGUGUGGACCCCGCGCCACCACCUGACGUCACCACCCUGCGGCCCCAGGACUUUUCAAAAGGAUUUUGCCUUCGGCCGGGGAGUUCAGGGGGAGAGAGAGAGGAGAGGCAGCCCAAGGCGGGGAACGUUUCAAAAACCCCUUGAAGCCUGCGGUGGCCUAUAGGUGACCCCAAGUCUGUCCCUCUUCCAUCUGGGAGGGGAGUUUGGUUUCCAGGCCGUUGGAUCGGCGGCCCUGUAACUGCAUGGACCACGGAACACCCAGGAGGGGUGCUGGGGCUGGUCUUAAGAAGAACUGGCAUCUUCUACUUCUUUCCCCAAAGAAUCUCUCUGGGACGCCCUCUCAACAGGCCACCUCCCCACCCCCUGUGUGAGAAGCCAGCAGGGAACCCUGUCCUCUCCCCCAGCAGCCAGCCUAAGCCGGCAUCAGGUGUGUGCCAGCCGCCUUCCUGUCAUGGCCCAGCCAAGCUCACGUGACUCCAGCCCCAGCCAGAAGAGCCCCCAGCCCAGCCCAUCAACUCACAGAAUCAUCCACACUAAUAAAAGAGAAACAUGCAAA